CACGUAGGCGGAUUGCUAAGUCAGGGGUGAAAUCCUGGAGCUCAACUCCAGAACUGCCCUUGAUACUGGCGAUCUCGAGUCCGGGAGAGGUGAGUGGAACUGCGAGUGUAGAGGUGAAAUUCGUAGAUAUUCGCAAGAACACCAGUGGCGAAGGCGGCUCACUGGCCCGGUACUGACGCUGAGGUGCGAAAGCGUGGGGAGCAAACA
rnacentral:rRNA from 1 species